rnacentral:lncRNA from 1 species
AGCAGAAAGAGCUACAGCAGGGAGAAAAGGAUCUUUGCUGAUGUUGAACAUCAACAGGUCCAGGCCUGAGCGGAUUCACGCAUGACGUCUCCCUGGACACAGGGAUGGGUUCACAAAGGGGUUGGACAUUACACCCUGGUGCUGAAGAGAUCGCUGCCGGAAGAGGCUGUCUUCCUGGGCAUGUUGUCAUAGCAAACGGAAACCUAACAGAGACACUGUAAAGGCUACUAUUCCAAUUUUUCUGGAAUUAGUGCUGGGAGAACCCUGACAGAGCCCUUCUCCUCUUCUGUCUUCGAUAGCCGGGGGCGGGCCGACCCAGCACGCAGGAGGCUUGCACCGCAAAGCCUUCUCGCUGAACCAGGCAGCAGAUCCAUCCCACGGGGCUUCCUCCCACGUGAGAAACGUAGGAAAAGACGCUGCAAAUCAAAGACGACCACCCUGGAGAAGCAGGAGAAACUCCCCAACUUGAGUGAAUGUAUCAACAUUUCAGAAA